rnacentral:rRNA from 1 species
GAGUUUGAUCAUGGCUCAGAACGUACGCUGGCGGCACGCCUAACACAUGCAAGUCGAACGAAGUAGCAAUACUUAGUGGCAGACGGGUGAGUAACAUGUGGGUAUCUACCCUUUGGCCUGGAAUAACACGAGGAAACUUGUGCUAAUACCGGAUAAGUCUUUACGGAGAAAGCUUUAUGCACCAUUGGAUGAGCCCGCACUUGAUUAGUUUGUUGGUAGGGUAAUGGCCUACCAAGACUAUGAUCAAUAGCUGAUUUGAGAGGAUGAUCAGCCACAUUGGGACUGAGACACGGCCCAAACUCCUACGGGAGGCAGCAGUGGGGAAUCUUGCACAAUGGAGGAAACUCUGAUGCAGCGAUGCCGCGUGAGUGAAGAAGGCCUUUGGGUUGUAAAGCUCUUUCGUCGGGGAAGAAAAUGACUGUACCCGAAUAAGAAGGUCCGGCUAACUUCGUGCCAGCAGCCGCGGUAAUACGAAGGGACCUAGCGUAGUUCGGAAUUACUGGGCGUAAAGCGCGCGUAGGUGGUUUGUUAAGUGGAAUGUGAAAGCCCUGGGCUCAACCUAGGAAUUGCAUCCCAAACUGGCAAACUAGAGUACAAGAGAGGGGUGUGGAAUUUCCUGUGUAGCGGUGAAAUGCGUAGAUAUAGGAAGGAACAUCAGUGGCGAAGGCGACGCCCUGGCUUGAUACUGACACUGAGGUGCGAAAGCGUGGGGAGCAAACAGGAUUAGAUACCCUGGUAGUCCACGCCGUAAACGAUGUCUACUAGCCGUUGGGGGACUUGAUCCUUUAGUGGCGAAGCUAACGCGAUAAGUAGACCGCCUGGGGAGUACGGCCGCAAGGUUAAAACUCAAAUGAAUUGACGGGGACCCGCACAAGCGGUGGAGCAUGUGGUUUAAUUCGAUGCAACGCGAAAAACCUUACCUACUCUUGACAUACUUGGAGGCUCUUGUAAUGAGAGUGUGCCUUUUGGAACCAAGAUACAGGUGCUGCAUGGCUGUCGUCAGCUCGUGUCGUGAGAUGUUCCGUUAAGUCGGAUAACGAGCGCAACCCUUACCCUUAUUUGCCAGCGAUUCGGUCGGGAACUAUAAGGGGACUGCCGGUGAUAAACCGGAGGAAGGUGAGGACGACGUCAAGUCAUCAUGGCCCUUACGAGUAGGGCUACACACGUGAUACAAUGGGAGAGACAGACGGACGCUAAGCCGCGAGGUGGUGCUAAUCCUAGAAACUCUCUCGUAGUCCGGAUUGGAGUCUGCAACUCGACUCCAUGAAGUUGGAAUUGCUAGUAAUCGCGGAUCAGCAUGCCGCGGUGAAUACGUUCUCGGGUCUUGUACACACCGCCCGUCACACCAUGGAAGUGGAUUGCACCAGAAGUAGAUAGUCUAACCUUAGGGAGGGCGUUUACCACGGUGUGCUUCAUGACUGGGGUGAAGUCGUAACAAGGUAACC